UACAGAGGGGGCAAGCGUUGUUCGGAAUUACUGGGCGUAAAGGGCGCGUAGGCGGCCUGCUAAGUCGAACGUGAAAUCCCUGAGCUCAACCCAGGAACUGCGUCCGAUACUGGUUGGCUUGAAUCCGGGAGAGGGAUGUGGAAUUCCAGGUGUAGCGGUGAAAUGCGUAGAUAUCUGGAGGAACACCGGUGGCGAAGGCGGCAUCCUGGACCGACAUUGACGCUGAGGCGCGAAAGCCAGGGAGCAAACGGG
rnacentral:rRNA from 1 species